UACGGAGGAGGCAAGCGUUAUCCGGAAUUAUUGGGCGUAAAGCGUCCGCAGGUGGCCCCUCAAGUCUGCUGUCAAAGACCGGGGCUUAACCCCAGAAAGGCAGUGGAAACUGAAGCGCUAGAGUGCAGUAGGGGUAGAGGGAAUUCCCGGUGUAGCGGUGAAAUGCGUAGAGAUCGGGAAGAACAUCGGUGGCGAAAGCGCUCUGCUGGACUGCAACUGACACUCAGGGACGAAAGCUAGGGGAGCGAAUGGG
rnacentral:rRNA from 1 species